GAUGAACGCUAGCGGCAGGCCUAACACAUGCAAGUCGAGGGGCAUCGCGGUGCAGCAAUGCACUGGCGGCGACCGGCGUACGGGUGCGUAACGCGUAUGCAACCUGCCCCGCACCGGGGGAUAGCCCGCCGAAAGGCGGAUUAAUACCCCAUGGUCCCGGGGGCCCGCAUGGGCAUCCGGGUAAAGCCUUGGCGGUGCGGGAUGGGCAUGCGUGCCAUUAGCUGGCUGGUGGGGUAACGGCCCACCAGGGCAACGAUGGCUAGGGGGUCUGAGAGGAUGGUCCCCCACACUGGUACUGAGACACGGACCAGACUCCUACGGGAGGCAGCAGUGAGGAAUAUUGGUCAAUGGGCGGAAGCCUGAACCAGCCAUGCCGCGUGCGGGAUGAAGGCCCUACGGGUUGUAAACCGCUUUUCCCCGGGAAGAAUACCCCGAUGAGUCGGGGAUGGCCGGUACCGGGGAUAAGGAUCGGCUAACUCCGUG
rnacentral:rRNA from 1 species